AAAAAAAAAAAAAAAAGUAAUCCCUCAUUCCUAAUUUCUUGACCUAAAUUCUUUGCCUCUCUCGUUUCAAUGCUUGCUCUCUCACGAGAGCUAUUUCCUUUUCCCUCAUUCCAAAUAGUUGCGCACCGUGGUUCUUUACGGUCAGCGGUGGUGCGGUGCCGGAUCGACGACGCCCUCUUGGAGUUCAAGAACAUCCUCGUUACCAUCCUCGAACCGCAAAUCUUCUUCUUUCUCGUAUCGAUUCUCAAAGUUCCUACCUUGUCGAAUUUCCUGACCAACCCAAGCAACAUCAUCAGCGCCGCCCAUGGAAGUUGAACGAAGUGAUGUUUGUUAAAAUUAUCAUCCUAUUCGCUUUGUCUUUCUGGAUCUUUGGUCUUUCCUCUUAUGCUUUCUGAUAGUUUCAUUCUUUUUGUUGUCAAGGUAAUUUUCAAAUUGAUGGCGUUCAAUGCACAAAACAGGCAGAACAUAACUGCUGCAGCAAUGAGGGCGUGCAGGGAUGCCAUUUCUUGCUUUCUGAGAGAAGUAGCAAGUGAAGCGUAGCAGAGUAGAUGCGUUUGUGUUAUUUUAUAGGAUCCAUAUUGAAUUGGUGAUGUCAUCCUUUGAAGGAAGAGCAGUAGUGAUUAUAACACUCCCACAAUGGUGGCUUCUUCUAUGAUUCCAUCACUUCCCCUGCCCUCUCCCAAGGCGCCACUAGCGUGCCCUGAUUCGUAUGGGAAAAGGCGUUAAGUGGACAGAGUUUAGAUGCUGGAAAGAGAGAUAAGUUUUCUUGAGCUUGUGCACUGAGGAUUCCUUCCAACCUUUUCCUUCGGAUGGUAUAUUGAUCCCUUUCCAUUAUGUUGGGAACCAGCUCUUAUUUCUCUGGAAUACAUUUCUGAAAUUCCACAGGUAUGUUUAAAUAUAUUUUUGGAGUAACUACCAGUGUUAUCAAAUAGCGGCGCUAUGCCGCUAUAGCGUAGCAGAUUUUUGGCUAAUCGCGACGCCGCUAUAGCGCGCUAUUCCCGCUAUUUCUGCUAUUCGCCGCCAAAUAGCGGAUUUUUGACUCACCGCGAUGGUCCGCGAUCGCGAUUUGAUAACACUGGUAACUACACGUCACCAAAUUAUUAUAUGAACUUGAAAAAUGCAGAAGUGCUUAUAACCCCCUCCCCCCCCCCCCCCCCUCUCUUCUUUCAAUACAUUCAUGCUACAAUGUCUGUGGAUCCAUUAUGAUCAUUGUGCCGUCAAGAAAAGACUUAUCUCUUGUGUUUAAUUUUGCUCCGGUAAGUUCCUAUGUCAUCAUGCAUAAUGUGAACAUAAUUUCUUAGGCUUAGAUCCAUCUAUCUAUCUGGUUACCUACAACAGAUAUGUCAUUUUAUUAUUUUAUAGUCUUGUCUUUUUUCCAUUUAAUUUAGUGCCUUGUUUUAUACGUUAUUGACACUAUGAAUCUGAUAGGGUCUAAUUAAUCUGAAACUCCUAACAAAGAAGUUCUAGCAACUCCCAACAAAGCACCAGCGGCAAUCCCACUAGCUAUGAAGAAUUCAGAAUUGCAAACCCAGAUAAAUCUUGCUCUAAAAGAUCUAUAAAAAGCAAAAGAACAAUUGAAAAGCUAAAAGAAGCCCAAAGAGUAACCAAGGAAGCAAAUGAGAAACUUAUGGAGGCAUUGGUGGCUCAAAAAUGGGUUGAGGAUGAUUCUUAAAUUGAGAAGCUCCGCAGUUUUGAAUCCGGACAUGCUGGAACUGAAGUUAUUCAAAAGAUGGAAGAGGAUGGUAGAAAGAGCUUUGAAGGUGUAAGGAACUAACAUGCUUAGUAUGUGGCUUGAAAAUAAGUAACUUUAUUAGGGAAACUCUUAGUAAUUUUGGUAUUUUUUGUAUAGGUGUGAUCUUUAUGAAUUACAUGAAGCUUGUUGUUAAUUGAAAUUCAUUUAUCUCUUUGAUUAAUGUUAUUUUCAUAUUUUGUUA